AACACUUAGUGUGUGGCAUUAAUGAAUCAAAAAUGCAUGUGAAUGAGUAUAAAGAACAUGUAGUAUAAAUGACACUAGUGAUGUUAAAGAAUGCAAGUAAAUGACAUAGAUGACAUUAUGACAUAACAACCUUAUAGUUAAGGGUCAUAUGAGCAUUGUUUAUAGUUAAGGAUUGGAUUGAACUUAGUAUCCUUAUAGUUAAGGAUUGGAUUAUACUCGCCUAUAAGUCCUGGCUUGAGGGUGGUAGUUCCCCCCUCAAGCGAUGAGUUUCGGAGUUGUCAUCACUGGGUUGGUGCUGUUUCCCAGAGGACGGUCUCGUCAGGUCGUAGUAGUCUUCCCGAUGUUUGGGAGUAUGCGUUGGUGAGUUGUAGGCAAACCCACGGGUUAGCCAAGAGAUUGGGUAAUGGAAAUAAGAUCUUGCAUUCAUCAUGAGCAUUCUAUUUGAGUAUAUCAUUGAUUAUAUAUUAUUCAGGCAUAUUAGCUGCAUUUGUAUAGUUGGUUACUAUCUCUCUAUUCUUCUAUUAUGCCUGAUUUAGACUUAGUGGGAAAGUCGGAUAGGUCGGCGGCCGAACCCACUGGGAACUUUAUUGUAGUUCUCACACCACUAUUUUCACAGAGCCGGAACCAAGUGAGCCGGCCGACGAUCGCGGUAAAGGUAUCGCGCCAUAGACAGGGACCACUCGAGUUGAUUUCAUAUUUUGUUUAGUUGCAUACCCUUAUGUAUCAUCUUUUGUAUUUGAUGAUUAUAGAUGUAUGAAUGAUGGUUAAAAUGUAAAGAGAGCCUAUGUUAAAUGUAAAAGUUAUAUUUUGAAAAUCAUGUGAUGUAAAGAGAAGAAAUGAUGUUUAAAGAAAAAAAUUUAAAAGUUGAAUGCAUGUAUAUGGUUAAAAGUUAAUCAUAUUAUUUGUAUGAUUGUAUAGUUUAGAUUCUUUCACUUUAGCUUCUGCUUGCCCUCGUGCAAGCCAUAUAUUUAUGUUUCCGCAUGUGCAAUAUAUCUAUUUGAAUUGUACUUGUGUUGAUCCUUAGGCGGACAGGGAAGGUGCUGUUCGUUCGGCGUCUGUUCGACGAGCCCGAACCGAUCGAAUAGGCCGGUCACGGGGCGUGACAAUUCGCGGCUUAUCGAAUUCUAAUGCGAGUCACUUCCGAAAAAGAUAAGAACGAAUAUUUUUUG
rnacentral:lncRNA from 1 species